CAGAGGGGGCAAGCGUUAUUCGGAAUUAUUGGGCGUAAAGGGCGCGUAGGCGGCUUUUCAAGUGACGGGUGAAAGCCCUCGGCUUAACCGAGGAACUGCCUGUCAGACUGGAAGGCUCGAGACCGGGAGAGGUGAGUGGAAUUCCCAGUGUAGCGGUGAAAUGCGUAGAUAUUGGGAGGAACACCAGUGGCGAAGGCGGCUCACUGGACCGGAACUGACGCUGAGGCGCGAAAGCGUGGGGAGCAAACAGGAUUAGAUACCCUGGUAGUCCACGCCGUAAACGAUGAGUGCUUGGUGUAGCGGGUAUCGACCCCUGCUGUGCCGAAGUCAACACAUUAAGCACUCCGCCUGGGGAGUACGGUCGCAAGACUG
rnacentral:rRNA from 1 species